UCUGGAAACGAUAUUUCAUUAUUUCGUCGUAUUUCUUGUUGGGUUGUUCUUAUCUUACAGUACAGGGACCACGCUAAGUAAAUUUUGUUUUUGUUUUAUUUAGGUUUUGUUAACAUCUGUCCUUAUGUUAAGGAAAAAAAAGUGAAUUUAUUAACAAAACUAUAUAUUUUAUAUCCUGAUAUUUUUAAAUAUCUUCCGUUACUGUCAU
rnacentral:lncRNA from 1 species